rnacentral:rRNA from 1 species
UACAGAGGCCACGAGCGUUAGGCGGAAUCACUGGGCUUAAAGCGUGUGUAGGUGGAUGACUAAGUACCUUGUGAAAUCCCACGGCUCAACCGUGGAACUGCUUGGUAUACUGGUUGUCUUGAGGCACUCAGGGGCGAGCGGAACAGAUGGUGGAGCGGUGAAAUGCGUAGAUAUCAUCUGGAACGCCAAUGGUGAAGACAGCUCGCUGGGGGUGUACUGACACUGAGAGACGAAAGCUAGGGGAGCGAAUGGG